GUGCUGCUGAUGUUGAUUGAUUUAAAGACAUGUUGAAAACGUGUAAAUACAGGAUGUUGGACUGARCAGAAAACUCAACUCUUGUCUUUCUGUUGACAGACUGGUGGCGGUACAUCGCUCUGGCUGUGGGGUUAGCCACAAUCGUUAUUCUGGUUGUGAUUGUCGUUAGAUGGAGAAGAAACAAAGGGAACAAAACGCAGACGGACGAAAACACGGUUGACCCUCCAGAUGAUGUUGCCUACGCCUCCAUCAGCCACUCCACCAACAGCGCGGCCCAGAUCCGGGGUGGUGAUGAUGCAGUGACCUACAGCACUGUGAAAGCUCCCUCCUCUACUACUGGACCCUCAGCUGAUCCCAGCCUCUACGCCACCAUCACAUUCAGACCAUAGUAGAGUAACAUUUGACAUCGAUAUUAUUUUAGGAAUCAUUUGUUCCAGCUUUCUGCCGUGAAAACAAAGUCACUCUUAAUAAUAGUUGUSAUUGUCAUUAAAAGAGAAACAAAGGUGGGAACAUUGAUUUAGUUUCAACUGCUGCCAAGGCCAGUCUAUAAAGUUUUAUAUCUGAAGUCACUUUUAUGGUGUGGACUGGAUUGAACCAGUGUUCAGCCAUUUUAUUGAUUCUUGUAGUGGGUCGUUCCAAAACCUGGAAUAUUUGAUCCUGUGUCUUCAUGUUCUUCUGCUCCAGCUGUUACUCUUAUACAUUACAAUGGUGAAGUGUUAUUUGUAUGAUGAUAUGAAUSAUUGUAUUUGUAUGAACCAAUGUGUUGUAAAAAAACGUUUUGCCAGAAGGGGGAGCUGUAAGUUAAGUUACUGCUGCAAUGUUAAAGUAAUAAUAAUAAUAAUAAGAUGGUAUMUUUUCAUAGAGAUAUUGUACGUUUAGCUGUUAUACACAUGUUAGUGUUUUAUGCUGUGAUGAAAAUCCUGCAGGUUGAUACUCGGAGGUUUGAGCUGUUUGAGUUUUUAAAUGAUGAUGAUUUACAUGCAACAAGAUGAAGCUUCCCCACCUCAGUGAAUAUCAGUGUUUAUAACAACAUUUAGUGCUUUGAUUAAACCUGAUGAUCUGUUUGUA